UGCAGUCGAACGGAAACAUGUCUAGCUUGCUAGAUGAUGUCGAGUGGCGGACGGGUGAGUAAUGCUUGGGAACUUGCCUUUGCGAGGGGGAUAACAGUUGGAAACGACUGCUAAUACCGCAUAAUGUCUACGGACCAAACNGGGCUUCGGCUCUGGCGCAAAGAGAGGCCCAAGUGAGAUUAGCUAGUUGGUGAGGUAAAGGCUCACCAAGGCAACGAUCUCUAGCUGUUCUGAGAGGAAGAUCAGCCACACUGGGACUGAGACACGGCCCAGACUCCUACGGGAGGCAGCAGUGGGGAAUAUUGCACAAUGGGGGAAACCCUGAUGCAGCCAUGCCGCGUGUGUGAAGAAGGCCUUCGGGUUGUAAAGCACUUUCAGUUGUGAGGAAAAGUUAGUAGUUAAUACCUGCUAGCCGUGACGUUAACAACAGAAGAAGCACCGGCUAACUCCGUGCCAGCAGCCGCGGUAAUACGGAGGGUGCGAGCGUUAAUCGGAAUUACUGGGCGUAAAGCGCACGCAGGCGGUUUGUUAAGCUAGAUGUGAAAGCCCCGGGCUCAACCUGGGACGGUCAUUUAGAACUGGCAGACUAGAGUCUUGGAGAGGGGAGUGGAAUUCCAGGUGUAGCGGUGAAAUGCGUAGAUAUCUGGAGGAACAUCAGUGGCGAAGGCGACUCCCUGGCCAAAGACUGACGCUCAUGUGCGAAAGUGUGGGUAGCGAACAGGAUUAGAUACCCUGGUAGUCCACACCGUAAACGCUGUCUACUAGCUGUUUGUGACUUUAAGUCGUGAGUAGCGAAGCUAACGCGAUAAGUAGACCGCCUGGGGAGUACGGCCGCAAGGUUAAAACUCAAAUGAAUUGACGGGGGCCCGCACAAGCGGUGGAGCAUGUGGUUUAAUUCGAUGCAACGCGAAGAACCUUACCUACACUUGACAUGUUGAGAAGUACCAGAGAUGGUUUCGUGCCUUCGGA
rnacentral:rRNA from 1 species